rnacentral:rRNA from 1 species
GAUGAACGCUAGCUACAGGCCUAAUACAUGCAAGUCGAGGGGACACGACAUCGACUGCCUGCUCUUGCUGGGCGUCCAGACGGGCAAGGGAGAGUAGCAUGACCUACAUCUGACACUCACAUAAGUUCAAGAUAGCGAUGGUAAGACCAGUUAACGUUGAUAACCCCAUGAUUCAACAGUAAGGGACGAACGUUCUAUCAGUGAUGGAUGGAGCCGCGGCUGAUUAGCUAGUUGGCGGGGUAACGGCUCACCAAGGCGACGAUCAGUAGGGGUUCUGAGAGGAAGGUCCCCCACAGUGGAACUGAGACACGGUCCAAACACCUACGGGAGGCAGCAGUGAGGAAUAUUGGUCAAUGGGCGAGAGCCUGAACCAGCCAAGUAGCGUGCAGGAUGACGGCCCUAUGGGUUGUAAACUGCUUUUAUAAGGGAAUAAAGUGAGUCUCGUGAGACUUUUUGCAUGUACCUUAUGAAUAAGGACCGGCUAAUUCCGUG